rnacentral:rRNA from 1 species
GAGUUUGAUCAUGGCUCAGGAUGAACGCUAGCGGGAGGCCUAACACAUGCAAGCCGAGCGGGAUUUGUUGGUUAGCUUGCUAACUAACAAUGAGAGCGGCGUACGGGUGCGUAACACGUGUGCAACCUGCCUUUAUCUGGGGGAUAGCCUUUCGAAAGGAAGAUUAAUACCCCAUAAUAUAUUGAUUGGCAUCAGUUAAUAUUGAAAGCUCCGGCGGAUAGAGAUGGGCACGCGUAAGAUUAGCUAGUUGGUGAGGUAACGGCUCACCAAGGCUGCGAUCUUUAGGGGGCCUGAGAGGGUGAUCCCCCACACUGGUACUGAGACACGGACCAGACUCCUACGGGAGGCAGCAGUGAGGAAUAUUGGACAAUGGGUGAGAGCCUGAUCCAGCCAUCCCGCGUGAAGGACUAAGGACCUAUGGUUUGUAAACUUCUUUUAUACAGGGAUAAACCUACUCUCGUG